rnacentral:rRNA from 1 species
UACAGAGGGUGCAAGCGUUGUUCGGAAUUACUGGGCGUAAAGCGCGUGUAGGCGGCCUGUUAAGUUCUGUGUGAAAGCCCUGGGCUCAACCCAGGAAGUGCGCAGAAUACUGGCAGGCUGGAGUGGCGGAGAGGAUGGCGGAAUUCCCGGUGUAGAGGUGAAAUUCGUAGAUAUCGGGAGGAACACCUGUGGCGAAGGCGGCCAUCUGGACGUCAACUGACGCUGAGACGCGAAAGCAUGGGGAGCAAACAG